GACGAGGGAUGCAAGCGUUAUCCGGAUUCAUUGGGUUUAAAGGGAGCGUAGGUGGCCUUAUAAGUCAGUGGUGAAAUCUCUGGGCUUAACCCAGAAAUUGCCAUUGAUACUGUAGGGCUUGAGUAUAGUUGCCGUUGGCGGAAUAUGACAUGUAGUGGUGAAAUACAUAGAGAUGUCAUAGAACACCGAUUGCGAAGGCAGCUGACGAAACUAUAACUGACACUGAGGCUCGAAAGUGCGGGGAUCAAACAGG
rnacentral:rRNA from 1 species